rnacentral:rRNA from 1 species
UACGUAGGGUGCAAGCGUUGCCCGGAUUUAUUGGGCGUAAAGGGCGCGUAGGCGGCUCGGCACGUCCGUUGUGAAAUCGCCCGGCUCAACUGGGCGGGGUCAGCGGAUACGGCCGAGCUUGAGCAAGCUAGGGGGCAAUGGAAUUCCCGGUGUAGUGGUGGAAUGCGUAGAUAUCGGGAGGAACACCAGUGGCGAAGGCGGUUGCCUGGAGCUUUGCUGACGCUGACUGCGCGAAAGCGUGGGGAGCGAGUCCGG